rnacentral:lncRNA from 12 species
GAGCGAGAACCCAAAUGCCCCGGGAACCGGGAGCGGCCGCGCGUCCGCACGUGGAUUCAGCAGACCCCCGCGAACGCCGCUGAGGAACCGGGAAACCGGAGACCCGGGCCUGCCGGGUCGGCGGGAACCGCCUCUGAUCUCCGGGUCUGACCGCCACUUGGGGCUGAACCGGAGGACACGUGGCGUGACAGGCCUCGAGCCCUCCGCGGCCCCUCCCCCGCCCCCUCCCCCUCCACACGCGCGCACGCGCGCACACGCGCCCUCACACUCGCACCCGGCCCCUCCAGGGCGGCCGGAUUCCUACAGCAGCCACCCCACUUCAGUGCACACCGCGCAGCUCCGAGCCCCAACAAUAAACGCCGACGCCCGACGCCCGACUUCCACCGACUGUUACGUCGGGAAACUCGUCACCGCGGCCACUGCUCCGGGGCGGGCGGCCUGGCCGGGUGCGCGGUCUCCUCGCCGACCCGCGGCAACUCCCUCUUCCGAGGGGGAAAUGGAAGUGGGAGUCGGGAGGGAGGAGGGCGGUUUAUGGCGAUUAGUCCAAGGUCACCGCCGCGACAGAGCGCGGGGCCCGGGCUGCGACUUACGAUUUCUGCAGACCGCGCUCCGGCCACGUGGUCCCGCGGACACAGCCCCGAGGGAAAGCCAGGCCGCCCCCUCAGCGAGCCGCCCCGCCCCGCUCGCCCGCCGGAAACCGCGCGGCCCACCAAUCCCGGCUCCUCUCUCCCGCAAGACUCUCUCCCUCUUCAGUGGCAAGACCUGAGGAAGAACAAGGGUUCUCAUUGGACUAAGACAGUUCAGGGUCCAUGUCAUCUGAAGACAUCUCUCUACACCUCAGCGUGGGUUCAUGUACUCCUGCACUCAGCAACACAGAUCUCCAUUCUACCUGACUCUAGGUGGGUUGGACCAAAGUGGCCCCGUGAUCCGGUAUUAUUAUCCAGUUUUCUACUGCUGUGUAAGAAAUUACCACACAUCAGGGGAGGAGGGGCAAGAUGGCGGAAGAGUAGGGUCUCCAAAUCACCUGUCCCCACCAAAUUACCUAGAUAACCUUCAAAUCAUCCUGAAAAUCUAUGAAUUCGGCAUGAGAUUUAAAGAGAGACCAGCUGGAAUGCUACAGUGAGAAGAGUUCGUGCUUCUAUCAAGGUAGGAAGACGGGGAAAAAGAAAUAAAGAAACAAAAGGCAUCCA